CUCAACCUGGGAACUGCAUCUGAUACUGGCAAGCUUGAGUCUCGUAGAGGGGGGUAGAAUUCCAGGUGUAGCGGUGAAAUGCGUAGAGAUCUGGAGGAAUACCGGUGGCGAAGGCGGCCCCCUGGACGAAGACUGACGCUCAGGUGCGAAAGCGUGGGGAGCAAACAGGAUUAGAUCCCCUGGUAGUCCACGCCGUAAACGAUGUCGACUUGGAGGUUGUGCCCUUGAGGCGUGGCUUCCGGAGCUAACGCGUUAAGUCGACCGCCUGGGGAGUACGGCCGCAAGGUUAAAACUCAAAUGAAUUGACGGGGGCCCGCACAAGCGGUGGAGCAUGUGGUUUAAUUCGAUGCAACGCGAAGAACCUUACCUGGUCUUGACAUCCACGGAAGUUUUCAGAGAUGAGAAUGUGCCUUCGGGAACCGUGAGACAGGUGCUGCAUGGCUGUCGUCAGCUCGUGUUGUGAAAUGUUGGGUUAAGUCCCGCAACGAGCGCAACCCUUAUCCUUUGUUGCCAGCGGUCCGGCCGGGAACUCAAAGGAGACUGCCAGUGAUAAACUGGAGGAAGGUGGGGAUGACGUCAAGUCAUCAUGGCCCUUACGACCAGGGCUACACACGUGCUACAAUGGCGCAUACAAAGAGAAGCGACCUCGC
rnacentral:rRNA from 1 species